UGUGUUUUUAAAAUUAUCUCAUAGUAGUUUAAUAUAUGGUGCCUUCAUGCGGAAUAUUUUAGAAGUAGUUGAAAAUAUGUACUUAUGCGUACUUACUAUUUAGCUUGUGGAUUUUUGUCUCAUAUUUCUCUUUGGUCAAUUCAGUCUGGUAUGCCUUGUCCAUGAUCUGUCGGUUAUCCUCAGUUCUCUCAAGCAUUCAUUUCUUCAUGGGACGUGGAUGAUAUUUUUAGAGAGCAUAUGUUUAACUAAUUGUUUUAAAAAACAAUCAUACCGAUGCAGUCAUGUGGCUAAUUUGAAAUCCUCCUUUAAUUCAUGAGUAAAAAUUUGUGAUCUACAGGUGGACAUUGCCUAUGCUCCAUUCAUUGAAAGGUUUCAAAUCUUCUUUGAAGAUGCCUUGAAGUAUGACAUCACAUCAGGAAUACCAAAACUAGCAGCAUGGAUUGAAGAGCUGAACAAGAUUGACGCUUAUCCAUAGACAAAAUGUGAACCCAAAGUGCUUGUUGAAUUCUACAAGAAACGUUUUCUGGCUCAGCAGUGAACAUGCAGCAGCUGUUCAUAACUCAAAUAAGUGGCUUGAUGCCCUAUAAUCAAUAUCUCUAAUCUAAAACUCAAAUGUAUCUGCAUGGGGAUG